ACCAUACAGACAGGUGGUGCAUGGUUGUCGUCAGCUCGUGUCGUGAGAUGUUGGGUUAAGUCCCGCAACGAGCGCAACCCUUAUCGUUAGUUACUACGCAAGAGGACUCUAGCGAGACUGCCGUUGACAAAACGGAGGAAGGUGGGGAUGACGUCAAAUCAUCAUGCCCUUUAUGACCUGGGCUACACGCGUACUACAAUGGCCAUCACAGAGAGAAGCGAGACCGCGAGGUGGAGCAAAACUCAGAAAAAUGGUCUCAGUUCGGAUUGGAGGCUGCAACUCGCCUCCAUGAAGCCGGAAUUGCUUGUAAUCGCGGAUCAGCAUGCCGCGGUGAAUACGUUCCCGGGCCUUGUACACACCGCCCGUCACACCAUGAGAGCCGGGGGGACCCGAAGUCGGUAGUCUAACCGCAAGGAGGACGCCGCCGAAGGUAAAACUGGUAAUUAGGGUGAAGUCGUAACAAGGUAACCAAGGGCGAAUUCUG
rnacentral:rRNA from 1 species